rnacentral:rRNA from 1 species
CGACCGGCGCACGGGUGAGUAACACGUAUCCAACCUGCCGUCUACUCUUGGCCAGCCUUCUGAAAGGAAGAUUAAUCCAGGAUGGGAUCAUGAGUUCACAUGUCCGCAUGAUUAAAGGUAUUUUCCGGUAGACGAUGGGGAUGCGUUCCGUUAGAUAGUAGGCGGGGUAACGGCCCACCUAGUCAACGAUGGAUAGGGGUUCUGAGAGGAAGGUCCCCCACAUUGGAACUGAGACACGGUCCAA